AAAACUGUGGAGAUCUGGCUGCAACACCUACCAUCCCGUUGACCACCAGGGUUGAUGCAGCUGAUCAGGCGUCGAGGUGGGUGUUCCCUUCCUCCCUCCCUCAGCGCUUCUUGUGUGUUCCCCUGCCCAGGCUGCACACUCAAUUACAGAGAACAUAGAGGAGGACCAUGCUUCAGUGCUCCUUCUUGACAAAGACUUUCAACAAAUGAUGUAAAGAAUAAAUUUACUUAAACACAAUAUUUUUUAUGAAAAAUCUAGCGUCAUGU
ensembl:misc_RNA 7SK 7SK RNA